rnacentral:rRNA from 1 species
CAGCCGCCGCGGGAAUACGAAGGGUGCAAGCGUUAAUCGGAAUUACUGGGCGUAAAGCGUGCGUAGGCGGUUUGUUAAGUCUGCUGUGAAAUCCCCGGGCUCAACCUGGGAAUGGCAGUGGAUACUGGCAAGCUAGAGUGUGUCAGAGGAUGGUGGAAUUCCCGGUGUAGCGGUGAAAUGCGUAGAGAUCGGGAGGAACAUCAGUGGCGAAGGCGGCCAUCUGGGACAACACUGACGCUGAGGCACGAAAGCGUGGGGAGCAAACAGGAUUAGAUACCCGCGUAGUCCCUGUCUCUUAUAC